rnacentral:snRNA from 1 species
AUGCCUUAAACUUACGUGUAAGAAAAAUAACGAUUUGGGGUGACCCCUGAAUUCUCACUGCUAAUGUGAGAUGAAUUUUUGAGCAGGUAAAGGUUGCCUCUAAGGUGACCCACCUACUUUACAGGAUGCCUGGGACUCGUGAUCUGCUCG